CCUACGGGGGGCAGCAGUGAGGAAUAUUGGUCAAUGGACGAGAGUCUGAACCAGCCAAGUAGCGUGAAGGAUGACUGCCCUAUGGGUUGUAAACUUCUUUUAUAUGGGAAUAAAAUGUUACACGUGUGGGAUUUUGUAUGUACCAUAUGAAUAAGGAUCGGCUAACUCCGUGCCAGCAGCCGCGGUAAUACGGAGGAUCCGAGCGUUAUCCGGAUUUAUUGGGUUUAAAGGGAGCGUAGGUGGAUUGUUAAGUCAGUUGUGAAAGUUUGCGGCUCAACCGUAAAAUUGCAGUUGAAACUGGCAGUCUUGAGUACAGUAGAGGUGGGCGGAAUUCGAGGUGUAGCGGUGAAAUGCGUAGAUAUCACGAAGAACUCCGAUUGCGAAGGCAGUUCACUGGACUGCAACUGACACUGAGGCUCGAAAGUGUGGGUAUCAAACAGGAUUAGAUACCCCUGUAGUC
rnacentral:rRNA from 1 species